rnacentral:snRNA from 1 species
AGAUGUGAGGGUAAUCUGGCUGUGAUAUCUGUCACUCAGUUGAUCUCCAGGGUUGAUUCGGCUGAUCUGGCUGGCCAGGCACGCGUUCCCUUCCUCCCUCACCACUCCAUGUGCAUCCCUCCUGAAGCUGCAUGCUCAGUUCAAGAGGAUGACCAUCUCUGUUAGAGGAGGACCAUUCUUUGGUCAAGGGUAUAUGAGUAGCUGCACUCCCCUGGUAGAAACUCCAAACAAGCUUUCAAGUUAUCAAGUUUAUGUAUAAGACUGGCUACAAAAUCUAUCACAAAAGUAUAUCCCAUGAGUGUGCACAAUAGACACCCCUU